CAAAAUGCAUCAUAAUAUCCCCCAAGCAAUCACCUACUACUCCAGCCUCCCCAAUGCCUAUCUCAGCCUCAACACCUGGCUGCCAAAAGAAGAGGAAGAAGAUUAACAGAAAAUGGGGUAACUCUCGGGGUAGAGAGGGAAAAGGUGGGCCUGUAUCCUCCAAAGUACUCCACAGUCCAUCAUUGACUGUCGCUAUGCAACCAGAACUAGAUGAUGUCGAGGGCCUACUGUUCGUGUCAUUUACCACAAAGGAAGCGCUUGGGAUUCAUGUUGGGGACAAAUUGUCUACUAGUUCAUCACCUGUAUCUCCAGUUUCCCUAACCCUUGAGUCACCCUCGGAGGCAACUGCUCCAGUAGAGGAAGUCCUAGAGACAGAUGAAGAAAAAAUAGCCCGCUUGCAGGCUAUCCUUCUGCAGGACCUC